UGAGUAAAGCCGCCAUGUCCAAAGGAAUGAACCACUUUGUCUUUGUUGUCUACUCCAAUGCUCUUGCAACUCUCAUACUCCUCCCUAUCUCUUUCUUCAUCCACAGACCACCCCUUUCUUUCUCGCUUCUCUCCAAGUUCUUCCUCCUCGGUAUUCUUGGCAUAACUGUCAUGCAGAAUUGUGUUUUCACCGGCAUUGACUACAGCUCCCCCACUCUUGGAUCCGCUAUGAGCAACUUGACUCCAGCAAUCACUUUUCUGUUAGCGGUUACC